rnacentral:ncRNA from 1 species
AGAGUAAAAGCAUGGGCGUGGGAGCCAGCCGGCUCCGCCAGUGCCGCCUGAACGGGGAGUUGUCAGUCGGACGAACAGCGCAAGCGACGGUUCAUGCUUUGCAUCCCGCU